GUCUCGGUGGCGCAAUUGGUUAGCGCGUGAGACUGUUAUACAGUCCUAUCUCGAGGUUGUGAGUUCGAGUCUCACCCGGGACG
rfam:Aspergillus rambellii strain SRRC1468 contig00099, whole genome shotgun sequence.